AUGGCUGCCCAAGAAGAGCAGCAGCCGCCGCUGCACAUCCUCUUCUUCCCGUUCCUAGCCCCCGGCCACCUCAUUACAAUAGCCGACAUGGCCGCGCUCUUCGCCGCCCGUGGCGUCAGGUGCACCAUCCUCACCACGCCCGUCAACGCAGCCAUCAUCCGCUCGGCCGUCGACCGUGCCAAUGACGCUUUCGCUGGCCCGGCCAUUGAUAUCUCCGUCGUGCCGUUUCCUGACGUCGGGCUCCCGCCGGGCGUCGAGAACGGCAUGGCCCUUACAUCCCAGGGAGACCGCGACAAGUUCGCUCAAGCGGUGCAGCUGCUCCGCGAGCCCUUCGAACACUUCUUGGCUCACAACCACCCCGAUGCGGUCGUGACCGGCAGCUACUUCCACUGGUCCCAGCAUGUUCGCGCGGUCCUGCAGCGAGACCAUGUUGCGCAACAACCCAUUGGCGACUGCCCCCGACGACCCGACGCGCUCGUUUCCCUGCCGGGGCUGCCGCACCGUGUCGAGCUGAGGCGGAGCCAAAUGAUGGACCCCGUGAAGCAGGCGGACCACUGGGCAUUCUUCCAGAGCGUGAACGCCGCUGACCAGAGGAGCUUCGGCGAGGUUUUUAAUAGCUUCCAUGAGCUGGAGCCGGACUACGUCGAGCACUACCACACGACCCUUGGCCGGCGCGCGUGGCUCGUCGGGCCGGUAGCACUCGCCAGCCAGGACAUCGCUAGGAGAGGCACCGACGCGCUCUCACCGGACUCGGACAACUGCCUUGGGUGGCUGAACACGAAGCCCGCCGGCUCGGUGGUGUACGUCUCCUUCGGCACGCUGAUCAGGUUCUCGCCGGCGGAGCUGCACCAGCUCGCCCGCGGCCUCGAACUCUCAGGCAUAAAUUUCAUGUGGGUGACCGGCGCCGCAGGCCCAGACCCUUCAGAGUGGAUGCCUGAAGGCUUCGCCGAGCUGAUGGCACGCGGCGACCGUGGGUUCAUCAUCCGAGGCUGGGCGCCACAGCUGCUCAUCCUGAACCACCCUGCCGUUGGUGGGUUCGUGACGCACUGUGGUUGGAACUCGACACUUGAGGCCGUGAGCGCCGGUGUGCCGAUGGUCACGUGGCCGCGGUAUGCAGAUCAGUUCAGCAACGAGAAGCUUAUUGUGGAAGUGCUCAAGGUGGGCGUCAGCAUCGGCGCCAAGGAGUACGCAUCGUCCGUGGAGACUCACGAGGUGAUCGGCGGUGAAGUAAUCGCUGAAUCCAUCGGAAGAUUGAUGAGCAACAACGAGGAGGGCAGCGCCAUAAGAAAGAAGGCCAAGGACCUCGGUGUGAACGCAAGGACCGCGGUGGAGAGUGGUGGGUCUUCGUACAAUGAUGUUGGUCAGUUGAUGGACGAGUUGACGGCCCGCCGGAGUUCCAUGAAGGUUGGAGAAAUGUAA
rnacentral:rRNA from 1 species